rnacentral:rRNA from 1 species
UACGUAGGGAGCAAGCGUUGUCCGGAAUCAUUGGGCGUAAAGCGCGCGUAGGUGGCCUCAUAAGUCCGCUGUGAAAGUCAAAGGCUCAACCUUUGAAAGCCGGUGGAUACUGUGGGGCUAGAGUACGGAAGAGGCGAGUGGAAUUCUGGUGUAGCGGUGGAAUGCGCAGAUAUCAGGAGGAACACCAAUAGCGAAGGCAGCUCGCUGGGACGUUACUGACACUGAGGCGCGAAAGCGUGGGGAGCGAACAGG